rnacentral:rRNA from 1 species
UGGGGAAUUUUGGACAAUGGGCGAAAGCCUGAUCCAGCAAUGCCGCGUGUGUGAAGAAGGCCUUCGGGUUGUAAAGCACUUUUGUCCGGAAAGAAAUCCUUGGCUCUAAUACAGUCGGGGGAUGACGGUACCGGAAGAAUAAGCACCGGCUAACUACGUGCCAGCAGCCGCGGUAAUACGUAGGGUGCAAGCGUUAAUCGGAAUUACUGGGCGUAAAGCGUGCGCAGGCGGUUUGCUAAGACCGAUGUGAAAUCCCCGGGCUCAACCUGGGAACUGCAUUGGUGACUGGCAGGCUAGAGUAUGGCAGAGGGGGGUAGAAUUCCACGUGUAGCAGUGAAAUGCGUAGAGAUGUGGAGGAAUACCGAUGGCGAAGGCAGCCCCCUGGGCCAAUACUGACGCUCAUGCACGAAAGCGUGGGGGAGCAAACAGGAUUAGAUACCCUGGUAGUCCACGCCCUAAACGAUGUCAACUAGUUGUGGGGAUUCAUUUCCUUAGUAACGUAGCUAACGCGUGAAGUUGACCGCCUGGGGAGUACGGUCGCAAGAUUCAAAACUCAAAUGGAAUUGACGGGGUCAUAGCUGUUUCCU